CCUACGGGUGGCAGCAGUGAGGAAUAUUGGUCAAUGGCCGGAAGGCUGAACCAGCCAUGCCGCGUGAAGGUCAGUGCCCUAUGGGCGUUAAACUUCUUUUGUGCGGGAGCAAUAAUGGUCACGUGUGGCCAGACGAGAGUACCGUACGCAUAAGCAUCGGCUAACUCCGUGCCAGGAGCAGCGGUAGUGCGGGGGAUGCAAGCGUUAUCCGGAUUUAUGGGGUUUAAAGGGUGCGUAGGCUGGGAGGUAAGUCAGCGGUGGAAUUCCCCGGCUCAACGGGGUGAAGUGCCAUUGAUACUGCCUGGCUGGAAUGCGGAUGACGUGGGAGGAAUGUGUGGUGUAGCGGUGAAAUGCAUAGAUAUCACACAGAACACCGAUUGCGAAGGCAUCUCACGAAUCCGCGAUUGACGCUGAUGCACGAAAGCGUGGGUAUCAAACAGGAUUAGAUACCCCAGUAGUC
rnacentral:rRNA from 1 species